UGGGGAAUUUUCCGCAAUGGGUGAAAGCCUGACGGAGCAAUGCCGCGUGGAGGUGGAAGGCCUACGGGUCGUCAACUUCUUUUCUCGGAGAAGAAACAAUGACGGUAUCUGAGGAAUAAGCAUCGGCUAACUCUGUGCCAA
rnacentral:rRNA from 1 species